AAAGUAGAGAAAGUGGAAGAGGAAAGAGUUACCCCAGCGAGAACCGGGAACCGGGCUGCAGACUCUCCGGCCCGGGGGAGGGAUGAGUUUCACUCUGGUUGCCCAGGCUGGAGUGCAAUGGCGCGAUCUCGGCUCACCGCAACCUCUGCCUCCCGGAUUCAAGCGAUUCUCCUGCUUCAGCCUCCCGAGUAGCUGGGAUUACAGAUAUGCUCUAACUUAUUUAUCCCCAAAGGACGUGCAUUUGGGUCAUUUUCAAUCUUCUGCUAUGGUAAGUAACACUUCAGCAAAUAAAUCUUUGCUCAUCACUGUCUCUCUUAUAUAAACUCCUGGGCAUGGAAUUUCAGGUCAAAGAAUGUGCUUGCUCUGAAAUGUAAUGGAUUUUGCCAAAUUGCUAUUCACAGAAGAUAUACCCACUUACACUGCCCCAAAGCCUACAUUUUUCUCACUUUAGUUUGGUCACAUUGUCCUGGUUGGAUACUUUCUGUCUCCCGUAUCUCAUAGUUGGAGAUAUCCUAACCAUGGCCUCCUGGGGACACUGUGCAGUUUCCUUUCUGCUCAUCCUGCUGCCUCCCCCCCUAAUCCAAACAACCCCUCAUAUCUGUGUAUGUCAGAGGGCUGUCCACACAGCAUCUCAUUUGAUCCUAUCUUGUGGGGUAGGAAGGAAAACCGUAUCAGCACAGUCUGGGGUAUGAGGACCAGAGGUGAAACAACUGGCCCAGGGUCCUAGGAUGGAAGGAGAGCCUCCUUGCUGAGCACUUUCCCACCAUACACCAUUGUCCAAAGAUGGCCUCCUAAGUCUGGGAAGGGUAGUACCAAGGAGGUAUAUCAGUUGGAAGUGAUGCCACUAACACACUAACACUUACUGAAAACACUGAUGUGGGCCAGAGACUGGGGAUAUAGAGGUGGACAAAACCUCCUCCCUGCCUCCAGGGAGCAUGCAGAGAUGGGAGUGCAAUGUGGGGUAGUUCCUAGGCAGCAUGGGGAGCCAUCUAUAUAAGCUGAGAUUGGAAGGGUGAAUGAGGGUUGGCCAGACUAAGGAAUGGCAUUUCAGGAGUGUACAGUGUGGGCCUGCAGAGAGGGGCUGGCCCGUAAGCCUGGUUCUUACAUGCAGUCUUGUCUGGCUGGGUAAGGUAGACAUCUACGGUUUGCUCUGCCCCACAUCCAUUCUCCCUUCUGGGCACAGCACCUGGACUUUCCUUUGGGUAACUAGCCCAUCCCCACCUUCCUGCAGUCACAGGGCAUGUGACUGCAGGUGACCAAUUGCAGUAUUGUUCAGGGAUGGGCAUGGGGCCAGCAGGCCAAUGAGACUCAACCUGGGGACUUGUACAAGAUGAUGGGAAAAACACUCUCCUUCCAUGGGCUGCUGAGGAUCUCCAUGAGAAAAAGCCCACCUGAGAGGGAAGCCAACUCAGAUGAAAUAGGGACUAGGCAUUGAGAGAGACCUAGCCCGAGUGAGAUGACUGAGUCCCUGCAUCCAGCCCGGCCUUAGGGUCUACCCUGGAAUUUCAGUUAUGUGAGCCUAUCAAUUCUGGUUUUUGCUUAAAUCAGAUUGACUAAGGUUUUGGUUAUCUGUAAGCAAGAAUCCAGACUAAUGCAAUGGGAUAAGAGGAAAAGGGGAAAGGAGAGAGCAGUAGGGCCAGCUCAUGAACCUAGCUGGAGCUAGGCUAUGGAGUUAAAGACUUGUCCAACCACUAGAACUAGGAAGAUUCUGACUUCCACGUGAGAACUUUGCUCUGCUGAGAGAGACAGACAGAGAAGGAGGGAGGGAAAGGGAAAGUCAAUGACUUUUCUAGAAAUUUCAGAGCUGUUGGGACACUUUUUGGGGAUUUUCUCAUCAGGAUAGAGAAUCCGGUCUGGAAUCAGCCCUCAGCCCUGAAGGUACGUGUUGAUUGAUCUUAAUUUCUGAAAAUACACUCAUGCCUUUCAGACCAGGCUUCUCUCUGUCACCAAGAAAAGGGAUCUUAGCAGAGAUGAAUCAGAGGGAAUUCGGUCCUUCGUAAAUGCCAGCUCUGGCUGAAAGAGAACACCUGCAUUCCAGCAGGGCGCUGCCAGGGAUGAAUGGGCUCACCUGUUCCCCUCAGCCCUGCAGGCAGUCUUUCCACAGGGUCCUGGGAGACAGUGCACUGGCAGAUGGGCUGUUGCUGGCUCCAGAAACUCUCCUUUUCCAAGCCAGGAGAGAGAAAGCCCAGGGAGAAAAGUCUCCCUUCCGGACCUCAGGAGCCUCCUCAUUACACUGUCUCAUUUCCUCUGGAGAGUGACGGACAUAAUUGGAUCAAAUGGAAAUGUAAGCCAGCCUCCUUCCCCCUCCCGGAUGAGAUACUUCCAAUAUGGCUUCAUUACCAAGUCUAUUGUAAAUAACUGUGGAGAAAAAUGCCAUUUGUUCUGCCAUAAUUGCCUGAUGAGCAUCAGUAGAUGGGUCUUUGAAACACAUAGAAUGAAAUCAUUUUGGGCUGGUUUAGAAAUUCCUUUGUGCAAAUCUUUCUCCAUUCACUGUUCUCCAUGGUGGGGGUUCUGAAGAGGGUCUUCUAGAGCAAGGAGCCAGUUAGGAGCUUGGAGGCUGAUUCUGGCCAGGGACACACUUACUUGGAGUAUUCAGCCAAUAUUUGUUAACUGCUGUCAACUAAAGAAAAAAAACGAAGCUUUUAAAGAAUUAAAGUUAGUUUUAUUUAGAAGUCUUCUUGAGGAUUAUAGACCAAGGCCUGUAGCCUGGGAGGAGGCUUUUAGAAAGGUUCUCUCAGACUCCUCCAACGUAGUAUUUUAGUUUAUACAUAGGUGGUGAAGAUUUAGUAUGUGAAAAAUUACAUCAAGGUUUGGGUGUUAGAGUACAUCUGGUUAUAGAUUACAGAAACAUAGUCACUAUUCUUGUCGGGUGUUAUUUUAUGAGUAGAGAAAGGCGAGGACUAGGGUCAUUUAUCUUUGAUGGAAUUAGUGACUCAGGCGAGAGACAUGGGGGGCCAUGCGUUCUAUCCUGUUUUGCCUUUAAAACAUUUUUCCAGAGAGCUGCACAGUGUCCCGGAGUCAGGGGCUUUGUGAAAUUCUCCCAGCAAAGGGAAAUGGGCAAACACGGCCUCUUACAUUUGCCACUUUGUUUCACGAAGUUUUUGGUCAUAAAUUGUUUGGUUGUGUUGGUAAGAAUUAAUGUUGAUUGCCAUCUGUAGUUAGAAGGGCUCUUGUUUAGGAAGGUUGGUAAUUUUUAGUUGUAGUUGUAUCAGACCUAGUGUGUUUUUUAGCCUUUUCUUGGAAAAUAUGUUUUGGACUGAGUUUAGUUCUCAUUAGUAGGAUGCAGGGGGUUUUUGAUGGUGUCUUUUUUUUGUAUUUAAUACAAUAUUUUAAUAGGAUUAUUAUGAGGAUAUUAUAGAUUCUAUACAGUAAUACAGACUUCAUAGUAAUAAAGUCUGUUGUAGACUGGAAAAAAUAUGAUAUUUAAUAAAAUUGGAAUAUAUAUUUGUAAAAAAAAAAAAAAAAAAAAAAAAAAAAAAAAAAAAAA
rnacentral:lncRNA from 1 species